rnacentral:rRNA from 1 species
UACGUAGGGUGCGAGCGUUAAUCGGAAUUACUGGGCGUAAAGCGUGCGCAGGCGGUUCGUUAUGUCCGAUGUGAAAGCCCCCGAGCUCAACUUGGGGAAUGGCAUUGGAAACUGGCGGGCUGGAGUGUGGCAGAGGGGGGUGGAAUUCCACGUGUAGCAGUGAAAUGCGUAGAGAUGUGGAGGAACACCGAUGGCGAAGGCAGCCCCCUGGGCCAACACUGACGCUCAGGCACGAAAGCGUGGGGAGCAAACAGG